rnacentral:rRNA from 1 species
UACGUAGGGUGCGAGCGUUGUCCGGAAUUAUUGGGCGUAAAGAGCUUGUAGGCGGUUUGUCGCGUCUGCCGUGAAAAUCCAGGGCUCAACCCUGGACCUGCAGUGGGUACGGGCAGACUAGAGUGUGGUAGGGGAGACUGGAAUUCCUGGUGUAGCGGUGAAAUGCGCAGAUAUCAGGAGGAACACCAAUGGCGAAGGCAGAUCUCUGGGCCGUAACUGACGCUGAGGAGCGAAAGCAUGGGGAGCGAACAGG